AGUUGUAAGGGUCAUCUGGCUGCAAUAUCUUCCACCUUAUUAAUACCCAGGGUUGAUUUGACUGAUGUGGUUGUCACUGUCUCCUGCAGCUGCUCAAUCAGUUGAUGGUUUUUUCAUAGAGGAGGAAAGUUGUUCAGAAAAGAGAAUGAGUAACUGUACUCCCCUGUUAGAAACUACAACCAGCUUUCAAAGUUCAUUUGUAGGAGAACAAAGUUAUUCAAGCUUCUAAAACUCCAGGUACAUCCAAAUGAAUUCCCGCAUUUGGCAGUUUACCUUU
rnacentral:snRNA from 1 species